AUUGAAUUUUUCUGCAAAACAACAACAAUGACAACAACCACCACCUGCAUUUUAAGGAUUUAUGUUGUAAGUCAAUCCAGUGCCUUGGUAUCUUCGGUGAAGGUCACUGCUGGGAGUGAUGAGAAAGUAGAACAGUUAUGAUUCGGGCAGUGGUACAUAAGCUUGUAGAAGAAUAAAAUUCUCUUUGUUUUGCUUGCAGAACCUAAAUUUCUUCCACCUGCUUCCCUUCCUUCUUGGUUUCAGAGAAGCUAACCCUGUUAUAGCUGGACAUUACCGUAUUAAAAUUUAAUCUCCUUUCAUCAGUCUGGUCCAGAAAAUCUUUCCAUUUCAGUACGAGUAUUAUUACAGCUUCAGUCCGUAUCCAUUUUGGAGCUGAGCUUCUGCGUUUCCUCUCCCUUAGAGAUCCAGUGGGCCCGGGCCUCCAUCCCAAAGCAUGGAGUGGGUGGAGAAGGUGGGUGGCUGAGACGAAGUGGCCUCCUUUCUCGGCCUCAUCUGGUUCUGUGAAGUUGCUGCUGCCUGCUGUGUGCAAUGGUGACCAGGACUGAGGCUGAUGUCGCAUCACCGGAUAGCACACGAGAUGUCCUUUGGGUAUCCUGCCCAACUUCCUAGGCAAAGCACACCCCACUUCUGCGAACUGGCCCUGGGGAGAGAGCAAGUGGUCUGGCUUUGUGAGGAAUACAAGGGAAAUGGGGAAAGAAAAGAAUCAGCCAACAAAAGAAAUUAUUUCCUGGAGAUAUGCAAAAUGAGAAGACACGCCAUCAAUCUUCGUAAUUCUUUGUUUUGAUGUGUGAUUGUAGACAGGGCUACAAAGGAGAGCUUCCAGGCACGGUAAGUGUCCAACCCUGUCGGUGUUAGUUCCCGCAAAAGUCCAAUAAGGAAAAAAAAAAAAGUGUGAUGGGUUUGAGCAUUAUUUGAAGGAGCACUGAGAAUCAAGAACAGGCAACUCUGAGAGAUAAAUGACCUCAAGGCUCUCAUUUAGAAAUGAGGCCCUCCUGGGAUAGGGGACAACUGGAGGCCCACCGGCCACUAGAAGCAUCAAGAUCAUGAGAGCACACCUCCCUCUGGCGUGUGAGUGUUCUUUCUACGAGUCCAGAUUAAUCAGUGAAGAAUCGUUGUCCUUCACCAUGUUUACAAGUCCCAGCCUCUUCCAGUCUAAGUCUCCAAUGUGACAACAUUAUCCUUAAAAUCUUACCCUUGGUCCUAUGCCCUUCGAUCCAUCUUUCAAAUUUGAGCUUCUGAGAGAAGUCUUCUGUGACUACCCCUGCCUCCCUGUGCUCAUCUUUGCCUUGGUCCAAGUGCAGUGUCAUCUACUGAUUUAUGUGUAUUUGUGGAUUCUCCAGUCUGAACUACGUUCCCAGUGAAGUCUCAAGGCAUGGGGAUCUGUCCUGAUUUUUCUCUGAACUUUCAGAAGCCACGUAUAUGACACGUAAGGGCACAAUAUAUCCAAAGUGAGGUCCACACAAAAGUGAAGUUCAUGGGAUAAUUCCAUGAGCUUCUGCUAUUGUGGGAGCUGAGUGGAAAUAGUAUUCCAUGAUUGAGUAUAUCUAAGAAACAGUGAGUCAAAUAACUUCAAACACCUUUUCCUGAAUGACUUCUCAGAUGGUGCAUUUAUAAGAGGGUAAUUAGUAGGGCUUCUUGUCCCGAUUUUAUUUUAGAAUCCUUUUUUAUUCAAGAAAUGUACUUAGAAAAAUUCCAGUCUUAUGACAAUGAUUACUAGUGCAUAGAGAAUACCAAAUACUGGUGCAUAGAGAAUAACCUGGGGAGUUGACAAAUAUUUAGAUUUG
rnacentral:lncRNA from 1 species